rnacentral:lncRNA from 1 species
UCAUCAGCCAUCGGUACCAAUACUAUUCUGCAGUUACAUGACGGAAGUUACAAUUUCGUGCACCGUAGUGGGAAACAAAAAUGCACUAUCAAUU